rnacentral:tRNA from 1 species
GUGACUUUAGCUUACGUGGUGAAAGCAGAGGACUGAAAAUCCUUAGAGCCGAGUUCGACUCUCGGAGGUCGCACCA